rnacentral:rRNA from 1 species
GCAGCCGCGGUAAUUCCAGCUCCAAUAGCGUAUAUUAAAGUUGUUGCAGUUAAAAAGCUCGUAGUUGAAUUUCGGGAUUGACGUGACGGUCGUGCCUUAAGGGGUAUGAACUGUUGCAGUCAAUUUCUCACCUUCUGGAGAAAUAUGAUGUCCUUAAUUGGGUGUCAUAUGAAACCAGAACUUUUACCUUGAAAAAAUUAGAGUGUUUAAAGCAAGCUUAUUGCUCGAAUACAUUAGCAUGGAAUAAUAAAAUAGGACGGCAUGAUUCUAUUUUGUUGGUUUCUAGGAUCACCGUAAUGAUUAAUAGGGAUAGUUGGGGGCAUUAGUAUUCAAUUGUCAGAGGUGAAAUUCUUGGAUUUAUUGAAGACUAACUACUGCGAAAGCAUUUGCCAAGGAUGUUUUCAUUAAUCAAGAACGAAAGUUAGGGGAUCGAAGACGAUCAGAUACCGUCGUAGUCUUAACCAUAAACUAUGCCGACUAGGAAUCAGACGAUGUUAAUUUUUUAAUGACUCGUUUGGCACCUUACGGG